rnacentral:snRNA from 1 species
GUGCUCGCUUCAGCAGCACAUAUACUAAAAUUGGAAUGAUACAGAGAAGAUUGGCAUGGCCCCUGCGCAAGGAUGACACGCAAAUUUGUGAAGCCUGUGCUU